UACAGAGGAUGCAAGCGUUAUCCGGAAUGAUUGGGCGUAAAGCGUCUGUAGGUGGCUUUUUAAGUCCGCCGUCAAAUCCCAGGGCUCAACUUCGGGUCGGCCGUCGAUACUGCUGUGCUCGAGCACUGUAGAGGCAGAUGGAAUUCCGGGUGUAGCGGUGGAAUGCGUAGAGAUCCGGAAGAACACCGGUGGCGAAGGCGGUCUGCUGGGCAGUUGCUGACGCUGAUGCGCGACAGCGUGGGGAGCAAACAGG
rnacentral:rRNA from 1 species